ACAGCCAUAUCAUAUUCAAAUGCUGGUCCCCAUAUGAUCACCAAAGUUAAGCAACAUCGAGCCUGGUCAAUACCUAGAUGAGUGACUGCUCGGGAAUAGUAUGUGCUGUAAG